rnacentral:rRNA from 1 species
UGAACGCUGGCGGCGUGCCUAAUACAUGCAAGUCGAGCGAACAGAUGAGGAGCUUGCUCCUCUGACGUUAGCGGCGGACGGGUGAGUAACACGUGGAUAACCUACCUAUAAGACUGGGAUAACUUCGGGAAACCGGAGCUAAUACCGGAUAAUAUAUUGAACCGCAUGGUUCAAUAGUGAAAGACGGUUUUGCUGUCACUUAUAGAUGGAUCCGCGCCGCAUUAGCUAGUUGGUAAGGUAACGGCUUACCAAGGCAACGAUGCGUAGCCGACCUGAGAGGGUGAUCGGCAACACUGGAACUGAGACACGGUCCAGACUCCUACGGGAGGCAGCAGUAGGGAAUCUUCCGCAAUGGGCGAAAGCCUGACGGAGCAACGCCGCGUGAGUGAUGAAGGUCUUCGGAUCGUAAAACUCUGUUAUUAGGGAAGAACAAAUGUGUAAGUAACUAUGCACGUCUUGACGGUACCUAAUCAGAAAGCCACGGCUAACUACGUG